GGGAGGGGGCAAAUUCCCCCCUGACCCUAUCAAAUGACGCCCCUGGUUUGCUGGGAAUGGCUUUUAGAUGAAAAACGAAUAUGCAAUGUACUAGGCAGGGUAUACAACAAAACCUUUUGCUCACAGGUUUUAUUUAUCCAACCAAAAACCCGUCAACGAGAUAUCUCGGGAUACAUAUUACACAUGUAAUAAUGAAAACCUGGUAUGUAAAAGUCUAAAAGGCUAUUUAUAAAGAAAUAGAAGAAUAAUAAAUAUUCUGACACAAAAUUGACAGAAAUCUUGUUCCGUCAAUUUUAAAAUCUAAUUUAAUAUUUUCUUACAUAUUUGUUAAUUUUUUUCGUUUAAACUUGUUAAUGUAUUAUUUGUUAUUGUUAAUUUAAAGAUUAGAAUGUUAAAGACUUAUAAAACCGAUUUUCUUUAAGGAGAAAAAACGGUGUUUAGUCUAUGUCCCGAGUUUCCAGAGUUUCUACAUUAUACACAUAUCUUCAACCAUUAAAAAAAAUUAAAAAAAAAAAAA
rnacentral:lncRNA from 1 species